AUUGAACGCUGGCGGCAGGCCUAACACAUGCAAGUCGAGCGGAGCGGCGGACGGGCGAGUAAUGCCUAGGUAUCUGCCUGGCAGUGGGGGAUAACGUCCGGCUAUGGGCGCUAAUACCGCACACUCUCAGUUGAGUCUAGGUCGGAUUAGCUAGUUGGUGGGGUAAAGGCUUACGAAGGCGACGACCCGUACCUGGUCUGAGAGGAUGAUCAGUCAAACUGGAACUGAGACACGGUCCAGACGCCUACGGGAGGCAGCAGUGGGGAAGAUUGGACAAUGGGCGAAAGCCUGAUGCAGCCAUGCCGCGUGUGUGAAGAAGGUCUUCGGAUUGUAAAGCACUUUAAGUUGGGAGGCGUUACCAACAGAAUAAGCACCGGCUAACUUCGUGCCAGCAGCCGCGGUAAUAC
rnacentral:rRNA from 1 species